GUAUAUAUAUAUACAUCUAUACGUAUAUAGAUAUAUAUAUGCAAUACUAAGAAGUCGUGUGCCUUAAAAAGAAUAGAUAAUUAUAGAGGGUAUAGCACAAUAUAACAUAUUCAAAGCUCAGUCAUGCGUCGUAUACUGAGCAAGUGAUGUAUUGAAUGUCCACUUACUUUUUCUAACGUCUUUAUUUUUCUACUGGAAUUGCCUGUAUCUCUCAAGAGUGCCCUAUAUAUACUAUGAAUUCAGAAGAAAGGUUUCAGGUUAGCGAAGGGUCGGAUCUCUCUGAGUCAGGGAAUACAAAUAGAUACCAUGACAAACAGGAACAAAGUUCCUUUGCACGGCACGUGUCGUGGAAGCUGGGCAUGUUGUGUAGCACUGUAUCAGGAAGGGAGGUUCUCUAUAGAGAUGCAGAUUGUGCAGACUGUGGUUUCAAACACGGGUUCUUGAGCUGAGGAGAGUCACUGCUGGACCUGAGAUGUGGUGUGUGUGAUGGCACUGCCAUCCCUUCUGCUGGUGGUGACACCUGGCACCAUUGCUGGCAGAGACUCCUGAAACAGCAAUCCUAAAAAAAUGAAAUGGCUUGUGGUUUUCGUGACAGUUAUCUGAGUAAUCCUUGAACAGAGGUCUGUUAUUGAACUUUGGAUGCUUUUGCUUUGGAAAUCGAGGCUAAUUACAGUUUUGUUGCUGUCAUUUUGUGAUUGUUUGGUUUUAAUGAGGGUAUCACUGGAGAAGUGAAAACGUUGCAAUGUGAAAGUUCUCACCAAAGAAUACUGUUUAGCAGGACGUUCAAAGCUCCCUUUUCUACUCUUUGCUUUGGAGAAUGAAGGAGCCAUGCUCAAAAGAGCAUAGGAGCUGCCACUUGAGCUCAGAGUUGCAAUGUGUUCGUGCUUCUGUGUCUUCUCAUUCCCGAGAGCACCCGUUACAUUAGGCUCAGAGGAAGAUGUAAGGAGCUCCAGUUAGUGGGAUUACAGGGCCGGAUGUGGCCAGCUAACCUGCUGCACCGUUAGCUCUCACCCCAAGCAAUCAGAGACCCGAGGUCCCUCACAGCUGCAUGGCAUGGAGGUUAGAUCAGUGACGAGUACUUAGAAAAAACAAGUUGUAGCAUUUCUGUGAAACACGAACAUUCAAAAAGCUGGGCACUGGUAAUGAACAUUGGCCGUUGGUCUCUGGGUUCUUUAGAAAACUCAUCCAGAGCUUCACUGAUGCAGUUAAACUGCCGUGUAAGGGCACACCUGGUCGGUCCUCAUGAAAGCACUGCUGGAAAAGAUAUGUAACUAACGCAUUCUUCUUCAUCAAAGAGCGUCAUUUCUUGUGGCAUCACUUCUGUUGUGUUUUCUUGCAGUGACCCAAAAACCUGGCUGCUUUGGAAAGUGGAUAGUAUUGGCAAUCAAAGAAAUAUGAGUGAUGUUUUGCACCUCAAGACUUCAUUCUGUAAGAUGUAUCGACGGGAUUGCCUACCUGUAACUCAGCUUUGUAAGCAGCCUCCCGAGGUUAGCCACGGUGGUAUUACAUGCCUUGUGCUUUGCCAGCCCUGCAAGCCAGCCAAAGUCUGUUAAAGCCUUCAGAGCACAAAGCACUGAUAAGAUGGAUCUCUAACAGGUAUGCAUCAGGGAUAAUGCAAAGAUGUUCCGUGUGCAACAACCUAAAAUUAGUUGCUGCUAGCUCAGAGCAGAAGUAACCGCCUCCUACGUGGUUAUUUCUGCUGAAAUGGAGGGGCUGAUGUGUGUAGGGAAGUGAUGAUGCUGAGUGUGUGCGUUAUAUACGUAUAUACAGUCUCUAAAUGUGUAUGUAUAUGUGUAUAUGCUAGCAUGUUCAAGUGUAGAAGUCAUUUUUUGUAAGUUCCAUGAGAUUCAGGCACAUGGCUUGCUUUGAACUGUUAUUAAAAUAUGGGCGUUUUGGUGAUAAAGCUAAAAAUGUAUACCUUAAGACCUACAUUCUUAAUGUAGGUCAGUGGAGGCACUUCUCAGACAUAUUAGCAUUUUGGACACUUCAUCUUAGCAGCAUAUUGCAUCUCCUGGAAUAGGUUAGCAGAGGCAAUGCGGGAGAAAUUGCUGCAUCUGAAGUCAUUCAGAGAUGUUGCCAAGUUUCUCAGGAACCAGAAUUGCAGGAUAAUGAGUAUUAUAUUUAAUUCGUGAUGGAAAGGCAACCGUGGGGAGUUCGGCAGAGGCAACGCAGAUCAUCUUGGCUCUGUGGGGGAGGGAGCAUUUAUAACUGCAGCUAGCUAAAAAGAGGAAAGCUGUCUGUAUAUUUGUG
rnacentral:lncRNA from 1 species